rnacentral:rRNA from 1 species
CGCAUUUAUUAGAACAAGACCAAUUGGCUUCGGCCAUCUAUUGGUGAAUCUGAAUAACUACGCAGAUCGCACGGUCUCGCACCGGCGACAUAUCCUUCAAGUGUCUGCCUUAUCAACUUUCGAUGGUAGUUUAUAUGACUACCAUGGUUGUAACGGGUAACGGAGAAUAAGGGUUCGACUCCGGAGAGGGAGCCUGAGAAACGGCUACCACAUCCAAGGA